rnacentral:rRNA from 1 species
UACGGGGGGGGCAAGCGUUGUUCGGAAUUACUGGGCGUAAAGGGCUCGUAGGCGGCCAACUAAGUCGGACGUGAAAUCCCUCGGCUUAACCGGGGAACUGCGUCCGAUACUGGAUGGCUUGAGUUCGGGAGAGGGAUGCGGAAUUCCAGGUGUAGCGGUGAAAUGCGUAGAUAUCUGGAGGAACGCCGGUGGCGAAGGCGGCAUCCUGGACCGACACUGACGCUGAUGCGCGAAAGCCAGGGGAGCAAACGGG